rnacentral:rRNA from 1 species
AUGCCAGGAGUGCGGGGAGCUGCUCCCGCCUCACCUGCAGCCUCCCCUGCGUGCAGGCCCACAAGCGCAGCACCUCCUACUCCGGCAAGCGCCUAUGCACCGUCCCCGUCCCGCUCGCCCAAUUACAACUUGCUAGAGGAGACGAGCCAGGUCAGAGAGUCGGCCCACAAGCUGCUUGACGGCUUCGACCACAACUUCGGCUGCGGCUUCGAGGGACGCCAUGGCGCCUAG